rnacentral:misc_RNA from 1 species
UUUCCGUAGGUGAACCUGCGGAAGGAUCAUUACUGAGUGAGGGUCUCUCAGACUCGACAUCCCACCUUGUGUCUUUGUGACCUUUUUGCUUUUGCGGGCCCUCCUCGAUGGGAGGCCGCCGGAAGCUCACCGCUUUGGGCCCGUGUCCGUCAGUAGCACCCUUUAAUUCUUAUUAAACCUGCCGUCUGAGUUAAUGGAUAUAAUAAAAAAAAACUUUCAACAACGGAUCUCUUGGUUCCG